rnacentral:rRNA from 1 species
GACGAACGCUGGCGGCGUGCUUAACACAUGCAAGUCGACCGGAAAGGCCCUGCUUGCAGGGUACUCGAGUGGCGAACGGGUGAGUAACACGUGGGUGAUCUGCCCUUCACUUCGGGAUAAGCCUGGGAAACUGGGUCUAAUACCGGAUAGGAGCCAUUUUUAGUGUGAUGGUUGGAAAGUUUUUUCGGUGUAGGAUGAGCUCGCGGCCUGUCAGCUUGUUGGUGGGGUAAUGGCCUACCAAGGCGGCGACGGGUAGCCGGCCUGAGAGGGUGGACGGCCACAGGAGGACGGAGAGACGGGCGAGAAACCGACGGGAGGCAGAAGGGGGGAAGACUGCACAAUGGGGGGAAGCAUGAUGUAUCGGCGUGGCGUGGCGGAUGACGGCCGUCGGGGGGGAAACUCCGUACGGCCGCGAGGAAGACACCAGGUUGGAAGGACGGUGACGGUACCGGGAGAAGAAGAACCGGCUAACUACGGG